AGGAGAUGUUGCAGCAAAGCUCUUUUAGUAUAGAAGGUGUUUGGGAAAAAGCCAAGCCUAAAGUAGUAGUAGAAGUAGAAGAACUGUUAAUCCGUCUAUUGAAGUACCAAUUCCUCCACUUUAUCCAGAACACUACAUACAAAUAUUUCUCUCAUGCUUCCCUUUUGUCUUCAUUGAAUAUCAGGCACGAAUACUACCUAGAGACUCAUUGAAAGUUACUAGAGGGAUAUUAUUGAGGAAAGUUCCAGUAUGGGAAAACAGAGGUUUUUGGAAUUGGAGUUGGAGAAUAAAUGUGCAGCCGUAAUUUACACUCUUUGCUUGAAAGAUUAGGGACACAUAUAAUGGGAGUGCUCAGAAGCGCCUGAAGUCUAGAGACCAACCACAAUGUUUCCAUAGGUAUGGUGUUAUUUUGUCUUUAAAACAAAAUGAGCAUGUCAUGGAGGUGGAGGUCAUGUUGAAUAUAAGCCUAGCUGUUAUGGUACAAUCAGAACCAUAGGUGGGUGAGCGAAGCUCUUUGAAGACAGCAGUGAAUUUGAUGCAAACAACCUUUAAGAGUGGCUAUUAAAGAGUGUAGAUGGAGACCUCCUGUAGGUAUGUAUUAUAAGGUAAAUUUGGCUAUCAAGUAAUUGCAGAACAAUACCUAUCAAAAAAAGGAAAUUGCAGAACAAAAUAUGGUAUGGUUUGGGAGUAGUUCAUGAUAGUGGAAGCCAAUGUAUAAGAGC